CUUCACCUCUGAGGGAGGCUGGAAGCCCGGAGCCGAGUGGUUCGACUCCUCCGGU
rnacentral:tRNA from 1 species